AACGAACGCUGGCGGCGCGCCUAAUACAUGCAAGUCGAGCGAGAAGACGUAGCAAUACGUUUGUAAAGCGGCGAACGGGUGAGGAAUACAUGGGUAACCUACCCUCGAGUGGGGAAUAACUAGCCGAAAGGUUAGCUAAUACCGCGUACGCUCCUUGGACUUCGGUUCAGGGAGGAAAGCGAUACCGUGGGUAUCGCGCUCUUGGAUGGGCUCAUGUCCUAUCAGCUUGUUGGUGAGGAACGGCUCACCAAGGCUUCGACGGGUAGCUGGUCUGAGAGGACGAUCAGCCACACUGGCACUGCGACACGGGCCAGACUCCUACGGGAGCAGCAGUAAGGAAUAUUGCGCAAUGGGCGAAAGCCUGACGCAGCGACGCCGCGUGGGGGA
rnacentral:rRNA from 1 species